GAAUUACUCUCAACCUAGACUCUGGUUUUGGUUGGAUCUGGGGGUCUGCCGUUGACUUGUUCACGGCUCCUCCUAAAUGUAUUAGCUUUUGGUGAGAAACCGCUGUCGGCUUGAUAUUAAUGUCUAUGCCUAAGUGGUUUGUGCUCCAUGGCUUACAGUCGUCUUUUGACAAUAUUCUGAC
rnacentral:misc_RNA from 1 species